rnacentral:lncRNA from 1 species
UCCAAUCAUGUGAGUAUGCACGAGAGCAAGGCUUGAUCUUAAACGAGAACAUCCUGAAUUCGUCUGUGGAGUAGAUACUGUUUUUUAUGUCAGGCAAAGAGGGAUCAAUAGGGUAUUCUUUCUUCUCUGAAGGAGAGGGCACAGGGAGGUCAGUACAUUUUUCACUCCCCGGGGAAGAAGUUGUAUCUGAAGGAGAGGGCACAGGGAGGUCAGUACAUUUUUCACUCCCCGGGGAAGAAGUUGUAUCUGAAGGAGAAGAUGGUGAUCUGUUUCCAAGAGAGGGCGAAAGUGGUGGAGAAUUUGAGUUUGAACUGGCCAUAGACACCCUCGGAUUGCAGUCUCCCAUAGCAUCAGUUUU